rnacentral:lncRNA from 1 species
UCCCUUAAAAAAUAGUUGGUCAAGGGCUGUAUUAUGGCAUAAGUAAUUGGAUCACAUUUUUUAAGAGAUGAUUCAAAGGUGGAUAGAUAAUACAAUUUUAUCUUCACUUGGCUUUAGUGUAUGCACCUUGUGUUGACUAUCUUAGGGGCAAAUUAAAAGAAAAUCCAAAGUACUUGAGUAUUGAGAUUAAGAGAUGACAUGGAA